rnacentral:piRNA from 1 species
GCAGUCAGAACCUGCUGUUGAGGU